rnacentral:rRNA from 1 species
AGCGAACGCUGGCGGCGUGCCUAACACAUACAAGUCGAACGUGAAAGCGAGCAAUCCCAGGUAAUGUGGCGUACGGGUGAGUAACACGUAGGUAAUCUACCCCAGACUCUGGAAUAACCGGCCGAAAGGCUGGCUAAUACUGGAUAGAGCGACGUACUACGUACUUGGGUUUUUAGGGGAAGGUAGCCUGUAAAAAGGCCGUCGGUCUGGGAUGCGCCUGAGUCCCAUCAGCUGGUUGGUGAGGUAAAAGCUUACCAAGGCCAAGACGGGUAGCUGGUCUUGGAGGAAGGACAGCCACACUUGGAACUGAGCACGGUCCAAGACUCUUCCGGGGGGAGCAGGGGGGAAUCAUGCGAAAAGGAGGAAAGGCUGGCGCCGGAACGCCCGGGGGGUGGAGAAGGGCCUCGGGUUGUAAAGCUCUGUCGAGUGGGACGAAAAAGCUGGGAGUUAACAGCUCCAGGAACUGACGGUACCACUAAAGGAAGCACCGGCUAACUCCGUG